AUUUAAAUAGCUUAAUUUGAGAGCAUAACAUUGAAGAUGUUAGGGUGAUUUCGUAAUCUUUAAAUA
rnacentral:tRNA from 1 species